UCCAACCCCCGCGUCUUACUCCACCUAUGUAAUCCACGGGGGAAAUAAAGAAGGAGGAAAGUUUUUCCGCCUGACCGGCGGUGCGGCAGUGUGGAGACCUGUCGUAAGGCAGCGUGGCGGCUGCGAGGCUCCGUUUCGCGGAGGCGGCGGGGCUACGGUCAAGCAUUAUGGCA
rnacentral:ncRNA from 1 species